AAGCAUUAACACAGUUCCCCAUCCUCCCCACUUGUCAGUGCCUCAUUUCCCCACCAGAGGAUACUGAUAAGGUCUCUCUGUGUUCCGCUGGACUGCCCUUGGUUUAUUUUCCUGAGCUUUCAUUCAUUGAAAAGCCACUCAAAGUCAUCCCAGCCUGAAGGUAAAAGAGCCGCUCAGCAAGAGCACGAUGAGAUUCCUCGUGUGAGUCGAGGUCCGGGUGACCACGGGCUGUGUUAAUCGGCUCAGAUUGGCACUUUUAAGAUACUCACAGGGGCGUGGAGGGGAGUGCAGAUCUGCAUCCCUAAACAGGAGGGCCCACUCCGCAGCCUCCCAAGGGCUUAAAAGAACAGUAAGAAAUCCCUGUCCCCUCUGCCCAGCUGCUGUUGGCAUUGGGAUGGUUUCCCAGCCCCGGGACAGCGGUAACCGCGGCGUUUUCCACCGCUUUGUUUUGGAAAACAAAUGAGUUCUUGCGUAAUUUACAGCCCUGCUCAAACAGGCACAGGAUCUCAGUUCAGCUGACACCAGCCUUCUCUAGCACUAUCAUAAUCAAUAUUCAUUAACUGAAGUCUAUUGGACUUGGAGAUUUACUGCUAUUAAUAAGCCAAGAGUCUAGCUUAGUGUAGUUUAUGAAGGAAAUUUUAGGUCUGCUGAUAAAAACUGCUUUUCUGCAGUUUCUUAGCCCUGCUCUCACCACUGAAAGAGAAAACCGGAGCACGUGGCUAGAGCCAAAAGGAGGAAAACCAGAGGCCACGUCUCUUCAGAGCUGGCAGAAGGCGCUGCAUCUGGCCAGCGCAGGGCCGGGUUCCGAGACAACCCUCUCGCUUUCCGGUACUUUUCCAAUCUGCCCUCCUGUGCGUGCGUGAGUGCAGCAAACCCGGAGCUGGCUGGGAGCAUCACCCGCUGAGCAGCCGCCCGGAGCUGCCCCGCUGCUUUACUUGGGUCCCUGGAGCCCUCGGGCGGGUGAGCGCCCACCGGCACCCAGGGAACUCGCACGGCGGUUUGCAGGUGCAGGUUGCUGGUUCCUCAUGGGCUGUAGAGCCAACCUUCCUCUUCCGAGAAACACACCUGCCAACCAGCGGGAUGCUCUGGUCGAUGGUCCAUGCACAGAGGACGUGUCAGCUCCAUCCAGCAGAGUUCAGACCUGCAGACUCCAUGGCCUGCUGGUAUCCCCGUUUUGUAGACGAAUGAAUGAAGCAAACCUUAUCAAAAGGAGCAGACUGCAGUGCUGCUAAUGCAGCUCUGCUUGCACUGAAGGUAACUGAUGCUUUAAUAAUGCUACACAUUCUCCAGCUUGUGGCUGGAGUGCUUAUGUGAGGAGAAGCAUCAAUCACAGGUGGCUGUAUUUAACUUUUAUCAAAUAUUUAGGUGGGUGGCAAGGUGCGUUCUUAUGCUGCUCUUGGGGAAAGAGUGUUGGGCUCCAAGAUACAAAGUGAAUUAAUCAUCACAUCCCUUUUGCCUGCAUUGGUUUCCUGCAGACCGGGGGAGCGAGCAUUCACAUUUCAGUUAUCUCAGCUGAACGGGAGGCACCACGUGCUGUGGGACUGGAAACUGCUUGGUGAUGAGGAACUGCAUUUCCCACGUGGAAAGUCUGCCGGCUCAUCUGCUGCUGACGAGAUGGGCGUCUCCGCCAGGCGUGCUGCCCUGCCCAGUGGGAGUCUCGGUUGAGAGUGUCUGGGGCCGCUUUUCACACCAAAACUGAAAUACACCAUUUAACGUGAUGACGCUUCUCCGAGAGCCACCGUCUUCUGCUGGUGCUCAGGUAAGUGCCCAGUGAUGUCCAGAACACGUGCAGUUCCACAUUCACAGCCCCAGAGAUGCUGCCUCUUUAUCUCCUGAUGCGGUUUGUUGAGCUGACAGUUUAAUUUCUGGUUCCAUUCCUCCCUCCCUGCUGCAGCAUCUCCCUGGUUUGUAAUUUGUUCUUUGCCAAACCAGGGGCCUCCCAGAGAAAUAUUUUCCAUCUCUUUGAAGUUGGUGGGGUUUUCUCCCCGUCAUGCACACCCGCUUCCCAGCAUCCCUCCCCAUCGCCACCCGGCCCUUCCCCAGAACAGCCCUUCCUGCUCAUUCCGACCCACCGCACACUACCAAUAGCUAAAUCACACGCCAGUGAAGAUUAUCAGUAUUUUGGAAGAGAUAUCAGUCACAAAAUUGCUGCAAAGUCAAUGAGGGGAAGUCAGUUCAUGGGAUAUCUACCUCAUGGAGGAAAGCAUGGAUGUUUUUUCCCUGGCUGCCUAGUUAGCUCUUCAAUUUCUCUAAAAUCAAGCUGACACUGAACAGCAGAGAUGCCCAGUUUCUUUCCCCCUCUCUGCUUUAUUAUAUAUAUGUUUUAAGAAUAAGACCUAAGCUUUCUUACUUUAAUCACAGUUUCUAUUUCAAGGAAUAUGUUACAUUUUCAUCUUAGAAGUGUAAUUCCUAAGACCAGCACAGAAGUGGUUGUAACAGGAGAAAGAUAGAGUGGAGUGGGGUUUCUUUUUGUAUUUUCUCUUUUUAAUUUUUUCAGCAUGGCGAUAGCAUUUGCAUUUCAUUUUUCUGCUACAAACAUUUGUACUUGUCGCUAUUUAACAAGCAUAUUAACAAUGAAAAAUGGGAGUUAAAAAAAAAGAAAUACAAUGUGAACAUGUUGCAAUUAGGCCAUUAUAUGUCUAAUGUUAUAGCUCCAGGAGCUCCCGAUGCAGCACUCGUUUCCAAAACUAAUUAUAGCAGCUGCAUCCCAAGCUGCACCGCUGGUGUCGUCUGCUGCCUCCGCAGCCGGAGAGGAAGCGCUCAGUCCUGGAGCUGAUCUGGAGGGAGAUGCUGCAUUACCGUGGGGUGCAGGAGCGGAACCGGGCUCCGCUCGCACCAGCAGGGAGGGUUCAGCCCAUGGCAGAUGCUUUUCAGGAGCAUUGUCAUGACAACUGAGUCAAGGAAUUCCAUUUCCUGCCCUUGAUACAGCCGUUGUUGGGAGAGAAUUGCAUCACAACAUUCCAUUUGCUGGUUCGUUUUUGUCGGUGCUGCGGAUGUGCUUGAUUCCAUGCUCUACACGUGAUGCAGUUUCUGUAAACGUUGAAUUCUUGGCAUUUCACUGUAUCUUUUCAGGUCUUUUUCAGAGAACUUGGAGGGAGUCAGUCUCGUUUUGCCUUUUUGACUUGUUUGCUGUUGUGGUGGUUGGUUUUUGUUUUCCCCACGCCCGCUGGAUUUAGAGGCAUUACUGUGGUGGCAAAGUGACCAACCAGAGGGUUCAGGUACUUUAUUUUGAGAGCUGUCGAUGAGCUGUUAGUGCCAUAUCUCCCACCGCCAGCUGCAAACAGCUGCACACCUGACGCGUGGGCUUUCACGCAGCAGCCUGAGGGCUGUGGCCUUUAGACUUGUCUCUAAUAAGUGUUUACUUCUAUAUAUAUUUAAAUUGCAUCUGUGGUUUCGUUGUGCAAUCUGUGAGGGCAGGGGCAGCCCUUGCACCCCCGCUGCUGAGCGCUGCGCUGCGCAUCCCGGCUUGGCCAGCAGGAUGAGGCUGCUGCUCGUUCCCUUAUCGCCCCUGCCCAGGCUGGCGUGGAAUACGGUGUUGGUUAGAAAGCCAAAAGGUGAUUGAGAGGUGGCAUUUUAUCCCCUUUGGUUUGAGAAAUUUAAUUUUGAGUGCAGUUGCAACUUUAAUUUGCUGAUUUUAUAUGUGUAUGUGUAUAUAUAAAUAUAUGUUUGUUUAUUUUCUUUUAGGUGUGUUGCUUGCUAUGCACAGUGACCCAACAGACAAAAACCCAUCUAAUGAGAUGUUUGGGUUUUUUCUUUCUCAGCAUUGACUUCCAGGGUAGCAGAUAAACCCCCGGCUGCUGUGUCCCCCUGUGGUGGGGUGGGCAGAGCUGGGGGCUCAGAGCAGAUCCUGUCCUGGGGUGCAAAGCCCCAGUCAUUUGUAAAUGACAGUGACACCAGUGGACACCAACACGAUACAGCAGUGGGAGCAUCAGUCCUACCGCACAGUGACCCCCUCGGCAGCUCCAGAGCAAAGCCAGCAGUCACGGCUCUCUUCCUGCUUCAUGGAGGUUAUGUGGAUGAACAAUGGGUUAAAUUGCAGCAUGAACCAAACCUUGAUGUCCUGUGCAUCAGGAAUAAUGAGCUGUCUGCUGGAGGUGGGUGCCCAGGGAGCACGAGGAUCCAGCAGCCUCGAGCCAAACAGCCGCAUGGGCACAGCAGCAUCCUUCGUUUUGGAGGAGGUUUGUCAAGACUAAUACAUAUAGCCAGAUUAAAGGUGAAUCUGAAGAAGCCGGUGCCAGAAGCACAGCGCAUUAGCUCUUGCACUUGGCGACGUAUUUUGGGGUGUGCUUCUUCCAGCCCUCUGUAGCUGGUGUGGAUAACCUCCAGCCUCUUUGGAGGCUGCUCCUCACCUCUGGCAAUGAUGUCCUUUUGGGAACACCGGAAUGAUUUUGCUCCUUUUCCAUGAAACAGAUCUGUGCCCCAGCCUGAUACGAUGGGCUGGUUUUCUACUUUUGAAAACUUACCUUUCUUCUUCGUUUUUAAAAUAAAAGUUAACCUGUUGUUCAUCUUU